rnacentral:rRNA from 1 species
ACAGCCGUUGCACACGAGUCAGUCGAUCCUAAGCCCUAAGAGAAAUCCUAUGCAGAUGAGGUGUCCUAAGAUCAUACAAAUUGCAACAAACAAAUAAAAAUUGAGCGAAAGAAACACACCCAUUGGGCGAAAGGGAAUCCGGUU